GCCCAGACUCCUACGGGAGGCAGCAGUGGGGAAUAUUCGCACAAUGGGCGAAAGCCUGAUGCAGCCACGCCGCGUGAGGGAUGAAGGCCUUCGGGUUGUAAACCUCUUUCAGCAGGGACGAAAAUGACGGUACCCGCAGAAUAAGCCCCGGCCUAACUCCG
rnacentral:rRNA from 1 species